GAUGAACGCUGGCGGCGUGCCUAAUACAUGCAAGUCGAGCGAACAGACGAGGCGCUUGCUCCUCUGACGUUAGCGGCGGACGGGUGAGUAACACGUGGAUAACCUACCUAUAAGACUGGGAUAACUUCGGGAAACCGGAGCUAAUACCGGAUAAUAUAUUGAACCGCAUGGUUCAAUAGUGAAAGACGGUUUUGCUGUCACUUAUAGAUGGAUCCGCGCCGCAUUAGCUAGUUGGUAAGGUAACGGCUUACCAAGGCAACGAUGCGUAGCCGACCUGAGAGGGUGAUCGGCCACACGGGAACUUGGACACGGUCCAGACUCCUACGGGAGGCAGCAGUAGGGAAUCGUCCGCAAUGGGCGAAAGCCUGACGGAGCAACGCCGCGUGAGUGAUGAAGGUCUUCGGAUCGGAAAACUCUGUUAUUAGGGAAGAACAAAUGUGUAAGUAACUAUGCACGUCUUGACGGUACCUAAUCAGAAAGCCACGGCUAACUACGUG
rnacentral:rRNA from 1 species